UUUCAACAAAACUAAAUCAGAACAAGGAAACAAUACUAAACGUGCGGUGAUCAAAAGGAGAAAAAAUGGCAUCUAUUUGUCAAGGUAAGAGUUCAUGGCCAGAGCUUCUUGGAGUAGACGGGAAGUGCGCUGUCACAACGAUCGAGAGAGAAAAUCCUCUGGUUGAAGCUAUAAUUGUGCCAGAAGGAUCAUCGAUCAUCGAGAAUUUUCGGUGCGAUAGGGUCUGGGUCUGGGUUGAUAAAGAUGGCAUUGUUUAUAUAGUCCCUGUAAUUGGUUAAGAUCCAAAAACUGCGAUAUAUUCUUGUGAUAAGUGUUAAGGAAUGCUGUGGAAUUGUGGGCUGUUCCUAGAGUAAAAGAAUAAAAUGAAAUAAGGAGCUUGGAUCCAAUCUCCAUGUCUGUAUUGCAAUCUUGAUAAAAGUUGUGUUAAUUUCUCUAUGUUUUUCCAUUGAACUUAAUUAAUUAUAAAUAUACACCACCCUUAAUAGAGUUA